rnacentral:misc_RNA from 1 species
UCUCCGUUGGUGAACCAGCGGAGGGAUCAUUACCGAGUUUACAACUCCGAAACCCCUAUGUGAACGUUACCAAACUGUUGACUCGGCGGGGAAUUCAUGCUCCGUGCGCGUCUCCGCCCCGGUCCAAGGCGCCCGCCGGAGGACCAACCAAAACGCUUUUGUAUGUCCCACGCGGACUUUUAUAAUUGUUAACCAUCUCGGCGCCCCUAGCUGUCGUUUCGAAAAUGAAUCAAAACUUUCAACAACGGAUCUCUUGGUUCUG